rnacentral:tRNA from 1 species
GGAGGAGUGGCCGAGUGGUUGAAGGCGCUGCUCUCGAAAAGCAGUAUGGGGGUAACUCUAUCGCGAGUUCGAAUCUCGCCUCCUCCG